GAAAUGCGUAGAUAUAUGGAGGAACACCGGUGGCGAAAGCGGCUCUCUGGUCUGUCACUGACGCUGAGGCUCGAAAGCGUGGGUAGCGAACAGGAUUAGAUACCCUGGUAGUCCACGCCGUAAACGCUGAGUGCUAGGUGUUAGGUCCUUUCCGGGACUUAGUGCCGACGCUAACGCAUUAAGCACUCCGCCUGGGGAGUACGACCGCAAGGUUGAAACUCAAAGGAAUUGACGGGGGCCCGCACAAGCGGUGGAGCAUGUGGUUUAAUUCGAAGCAACGCGAAGAACCUUACCAGGUCUUGACAUCCCGAUGCCCGCUCUAGAGAUAGAGUUUUUCUUCGGAACAUCGGAGACAGGUGGUGCAUGGUUGUCGUCAGCUCGUGUCGUGAGAUGUUGGGUUAAGUCCCGCAACGAGCGCAACCCUUAUUGUUAGUUGCCAUCAUUCAGUUGGGCACUCUAGCGAGACUGCCGGUAAUAAACCGGAGGAAGGUGGGGAUGACGUCAAAUCAUCAUGCCCCUUAUGACCUGGGCUACACACGUGCUACAAUGGCUGGUACAACGAGUCGCAAGCCGGUGACGGCAAGCUAAUCUCUUAAAGCCAGUCUCAGUUCGGAUUGUAGGCUGCAACUCGCCUACAUGAAGUCGGAAUCGCUAGUAAUCGCGGAUCAGCACGCCGCGGUGAAUACGUUCCCGGGCCUUGUACACACCGCCCGUCACACCACGAGAGUUUGUAACACCCGAAGUCGGUGAGGUAACCUUUUAGGAGCCAGCCGCCUAAGGUGGGAUAGAUGAUUGGGGUGAAGUCGUAACAAGGUAGCCGUAUCGGAAGGUGCGGCUG
rnacentral:rRNA from 1 species